rnacentral:sRNA from 1 species
GCGCCUCUGCGUUGAUCGAAUGGCAGCAUGUUGCCUGAGCCGAUACUUGUCGAAUGGGAGCUUACCUACUUUGGCCAUGCGAAUCCCCCUUUCGGGAUACCUGAGGCCGAGGUGCGGCGCCCACCUCUUGUUAAAGGGUUCGACGACUAUUUGCCAUUACGCCAGCGCGGGGGCGCC